UCCGGCCCGAGCUGGCUUGGCCACGCUACGGCGGGCCGCCGCGCCGCGGGCCUCCACAGGCCGCGAUGCCGCCCGAACCCCGCAUCCUCUAGGCCCUGGCUGGCCGCUUGCUCUCCGCGAAGCCUGACUUACCGGGAGCGAAUAUGGUGUGGCAGGAGUCGCCGCCGACGCACUGUGGCGAGGAAGCACCCCCGGAAGCCACCGAGGAGAAAUCCUCGAGCAAGACGCCGCCGCCUCCACAGCGACCCACUUCCGCUCCUGAGGCCUGGGCUCCACCCCCGCGCACUCCCAUUGGCCGUCGUCGUCUCGAUUCCCGCGGUCUACCGGUCCAGGAGGAACUGGCUCCACAGGGAUUGUUCAUUUCAGGCCAGUGAGACUGGAGCAGAUGUUCACACAUUGCCUUGAGGACAGAGAGCCCUCCUAAGAGAGCCACCAGGGAGAGAUGACUCUUCUUCCUCGAUGUGAGGCUGGAACUGCUACUGGCUUGGAGACCAAGCUCCUGCGUCAGGCAUGUUUUGAAGCCCACCCCACCUUUGGACUGCUAGCUACGGGAGUUAAUAUGCAUCCUUUGAAACUCUAAGAGCUCCCGAGGGAAUCUGGACAGGCCAUCGUCCGUGUAUUUCCUUGAAAUCAAGUGGAAUGGAUUUCCAUCUCACAUAACAAUUGUAAGAAAUGUCACAUUUGUUUCCUUAAAUGAAUAAUGAAAUCAGUUAAAUGAAAAAAAAAAAUUCCAGCCCCCAGCUAUUUCGACAGGGAGGUGGGAAAUUUCUCUCUCAACCUGGGAAAGUCCUGUGUUUCUGACACUGCUUAAAAUAUUGGGGAAGAACGCUGGUGUUCAGUCUGUUGUUUUACUCUAAGAUGCCCAUCUUCCUGGUCAGAAUGUGCCCUGGGGUCCAGCCUCCCCCUUUGAGGUGUCAUCUCCCCAACAGAGCUAAGGAGGAAGUCAAGUUUGGGGGCAUAUCUCUCCUGGACAUCUAACUACCUGGCUGUUUCCAGCCCUUCCCCCUGGGGCCGUGCCCAGACUGUCCUUCCUGGAGCUGCAGCACCUUGUGUUUUAUUCAUGAUUCUGCAUUUCCACAGCAGGCUUUUGCUCAGCCAGCCUAUCCUCAAGGUCAUGACCUCUCCAGCCUCGCGCUGGAGAGGAACCAAAUCCAGAGGAACCAAAAUUAUGAAUGUGUCCCGGUCUGGGCUCAUGCCCACUGGCUCCAGUCAUGCUCCUUUGGUAUUGCUGAAGAAGGCUGGGUGGGGCUCUAAAGUCAAGCAGACUUAGCUUUGGGUCAAGGCUUUUGGGGCUGGUUACUUUACCUCUUUGAGUACUACUGGCCUCAUCAGCAGAAUGGGGGUAGAGGACAGUUCCUGCAUCCCCUUGACCCC
rnacentral:lncRNA from 1 species